CCAUGGUACCCAGCCCCAGCUCUGCAGAGGCUUUUGUUCAAUUAUUGAUGUCUGGGGAAGGAAGCCCGUGGGCUGGCUGGGCUAGGAUGGAAGACAUGAUCCAGGUGAAGCAGGAAAACCAUCAGGAAGGGAGAAGAGGGGGCCUAGUCAGGUCUGUCCAUGUUGAUCAACCUGAAAACAUGUCCAGGAGAGGUGAUUAAAUGAAAAAGCAGCUUACAGAACAGCUCCAAGGGUGAGAUCAUUAAACUAUAGCAUGUGUGUGUGAGAGACAGACAGAAAGAGAUUUCAGAGACUUUCACCCAAAAAGUGAAUGGGGGUUAUUUCUGAGUGUUAGGAUUAUGAAGAAUUUCUAUGUUCUUCAGGCUUUCUGGAUUUCUUUAUUAAUAAGUAAUUACUAUUUUCAGAACCUGAAACACCAGUUCCUGGAGGGGGAGCAGGGAGAGGAAGAAGAUGCAAACAAAGAUCAGAAAGGGAUGUCCAAGGCUGGUGUUCAUGUGAGCAGAGGAGAGAAUUCCAGAUUGAGGAACAAACAAAGACACCAGGCUCAGAGGACAAUACUCAACACAUGCGCCAUCUCAAGUCCUUUUUGGAAAUAGAUACUUAAAUAAAUAAAAAGACCUUCUCUGGAAAGCAUUGUGUCCACACCUGGCAUUAAUUCAUUUGUGCUAUGAAGGCAAGUGUUUUCUAUGAUCUCCUUGGCACUGAAUCAAGGUGGAUUUUGUCAUUAUAAUUGAGUCCACAGGACAAAUGUAACAAAAGUUCUAGAAAAGUAUUUCUCAAAGCACGCUGCUCAUAAUAAGUGUACCUUGGGAAAUUAAGAUGUGUUAUGUAAGAAAAGGGUUCCAUAAUCAAGCAAUUUUGAGAAAUACUGCAUUAAACAAGGAUAACAAAGUUAAACAAGCCUCUUUACUACAGGAAUUUUCAGAACCUUUAAUAUACUAAUGCACAUUGUAAAUCAUAAAGAAGAUAAUAUCUGGCAUUUUUCCAAAUGCGUUUGACCAUGGAGUACUCUGUUGCUGAGCAUCUUACCAGAUGUGUUCCAUGAAAUAGACUUGAAACCUUGUUAAAGCAGAAGCAUUGCUUUAUCACUCAAUUUUCUUUCUCCUAAGGUAGAAAAAAACAGCAAAUCCAAGAGAAGC
rnacentral:lncRNA from 1 species